AAGGCCCUAGCUUAAUUAAAGCGUCUGGGUUGCAUUCAGGAGAUGUAGGUUAGUACCCUACGGGUCUUA
rnacentral:tRNA from 1 species